ACUAUUUUGACAGAAAAAUGUGAUGAUUUUAGAAUUCAUAUAUGUAUAUUUUAUAAAUAUAUAAAUAGUA
rnacentral:tRNA from 1 species